GGGGCGGGCGGCGCCAUCUUUGUUACGGGCGGGCGGCGGCGGCGGCGUCCGAGGCCCUUCCCGGCUCCCCCGCCCGGAACGGGCUUGUUGCGGCAGCUUUGUGCCCCCCGGCAGGGCUCGGUGCGGCAGAGCAGGGGCCGGUGGGCCCGGUAGCUCAAACCCGGAGCACACGAAGCACCGUCCCGCAGCUCAGUGUGUGUCAGGACACUGAUCACUCGCUGUUACAAGAGAGGGGGCAGGUGGCCCUCAACGUUCGUCCACGGAAGCCUCAGGUUCUGCUUUCAGCUGCUGAGCCUGUGCCAGGGCCCCGCUUUUCCCUUUGCUGAAAUGAGCUGAGUGCAGUUGUAGCUUCCAGCACUGUCUGAGGAUAAAGCUUCAGGCUCCAUACAUACCCAGUUCCUGAGCCAUGGAAAUGUGCAGAUCUUCACAUGAAGAGCCUCAACUUUGGCCGCCUGCCGAAGGGCAUCAGAGCUCAGGCUGCUGGAAAACCUCAUCCUCUGAAGGAAGUCAGAGCCCAGGGCUCCGAGGAAAUGGGAGAGGAAUGAGCAUUUUCCAUCUGGGAGCUGAAAGGGCCGCUCUCCCUGCCCUGCAACAGCCCUGAGCCACAGCUGGAGAGAGCAGAGCCAGCCCACACAGCCAGAGGGGCUCCGGGGGGCUGUGGCAGGCCCAGACCUUCCAGCCUCUGCUGCAAGGGAAGGAGCAGCUGAGCCACAGCACCACAGCCACGGGACGCCCCUGUUCUGCCAGCAGUGUGCCCUUGUGGCCAAGGCCAAUGGCAGCUUGGGAUGCAUCAAUAGUGUGGGCAGCAGGUGAAGAGAGGUUCUGCUCCCCCUGUGCUCUGCUGAGGCCUCAUCUGGAGUCCUGUGUCCAGUUCUGGGCUCCCCAGCUCCAGAGGGACAGGGAACUGUUGGGGAGAGGCCAGUGCUGGGCCACCAAGAUGAUCAGGGGACUGGAGCAUCUUCCUUAUGAGCAAAGGCUGUGGGACCUGGGGCUGUUCAGUCUGGAGAAGAGGAGACUGAGGGGGGAUCUCAAUAGUUACAAACAUCUCACUGGUGGGUGUCAGGAGGUUGGGGCAGCACUUUUUCUUCUGUUGUAUCCAGUGACAGGACAAGGGGCAAUGGGAUGAAGCUGGAACACAAAAAGUUCCAUUGAAACAUAAGAAGAAACUGUUUGAGUGCUGAGGUGAGGGAGCCCUGGCCCAGGCUGCCCAGGGAGGGUGUGGAGGCUCCUUCUUGGAAGGCUUCAAACCCACCUGGACACGUUCCUGUGUGACCUGAUCUAGGUGGGAGCUGCUUUGGCAGGGGGUUGGACUGGAUGAGCUCUAAAGGUCCCUUCCAACCCCCCACCACUCUGUGACUCUCUGAUGACAAUAAAAACCCUUACAAACAUCUUACCAAGA